rnacentral:tRNA from 2 species
GGGUGAUUAGCUCAGCUGGGAGAGCACCUCCCUUACAAGGAGGGGGUCGCCGGUUCGAUCCCGUCAUCACCCACCA